CAGCACUGAUUUAAUCCAGCUCAUCCAGAGCAGGCAGCUUGCCCUAGGGACUGGCCCCACACAACAGCAAGCCUUCAGGGAACUUGUGGGCCUGCAUAGGCUGGGUGCCUAGAUUCUCUGCAGCAGGGGAUUCCGAGUAACUUUCUUGUGUUCACAAAGAAAGUAAGCAGGAGAACAAGGAAAAACUCAUUCCAUGGGCUUCUGAAAUCCCACCUGGAGAUUUGGGCCCCCUAAGCAAGUAUGUGGUCUUUCAAGUUCUCUUGGCAUCCGAAAGUUGGCAUCUGCUCCCUUAUACACAUCAUCCUCGCCAUUAAACAUAGUGCAAGCGAUUAAAGCUGCUAGGGUAAAAAACAAGUUUCAGUAUAACUAAAAUGGGAUUUCUUUUACUAACUAAAAUAAAGGAGAAUGUAAUAAAGUACUUUUGGAGAAAUAUUUUGUUCUAUAUUUUAAGAGAAAUGUAUGAGGGAUUGAAGAAAAAAUGAUCAUUAUAAGAAUAAGUUUUGAACUGUUUGAGCUACAGAAACGUGUCUUUUUGGCCUUUUUAUUUAGCCAUUUGUCUCAACAGACGUAAAACUUUUUAAAAAUAUGUUUAUGAUUAAAUUUUCAUAAUAUGAAAAUGGCGUGGGGACUAUAAAGAUGAAUAUGGAAAAACUUACAUGUAUUUGGCAUUACAAUAUGCCUGAGUGCUUUACAUAUCUUAUCUGGUUUGAUUCUCACACACACAUAGGGAUAAAGAAGCAAACUUAGAAAAGUAACAGUUGGUAGUGGGACAUGGAGAUGAGGCUAGGUCUGCCUGAUCUUAAACUUCCCAGCUCCCAGAACUGUGAGAAACAAGUUUCUCCCGUUGAAGACACUCAGUCUAUGGUUUUCCAUCAUAGCAGCCCGAGCUGACCAAGACACUCUCCCUGCUCUGCAGCCUGGAAACUCUCUUCAAUAGCCUGGAAAAUCACAGAUCUCAUCUCACUUGUCUUACUUCUCUCAAGGAUCACUGUCCAGCUCUGCCUUUUGUCAAUGUCUGAAAACCGUUAGUUGUUCCAUAUAUUUUGUCUAGCUUUUCAGUUCUUGAAUGAAAUAGGAUAAAUUAGUUCCUGAUACGCCAAUGAUAGCCAGAAGCAAAAGAUGACAGGUUGAACUUUACAAGCUUCCAUUAUCACAAUCAAGACAGCUCUAUUCUUUUGUGUCAAAAUGCACCCUAGACAUUUUAGUUUUCUCUGAACACUUCGUUUAACUUAUCUAAAGUCAUGUAGGCCAGGUUUUUCCCUUAGGAGCAAAGACCUGCUCCCUGGGGGCUCUGCAUUCCUGGAUACAUAAUGGG